AUCGGACUAGGAUAUAGCUGGUUUUCUGCGAAAUCUAUUUUGGUAGAUAGCUUAAAUAAUAAUGUUUGUUUGUUAGUCUUAUUAGUGGGUAUAGCACUGAAUAUCUAAUUUUAUUUGAAGGGAGUAUGAAAGUACUUACUUUGGAUAUUUAAUCUCAGAAUAACUAAUGGAUGAAAAGUA
rnacentral:rRNA from 1 species